GAGCGGAUGACAGAAGCUUGCUCCUCUAUACAGCGGCGGACGGGUGAGUAAUGCCUAGGAAUCUGCCUGGUAGUGGGGGAUAACGUUCCGAAACGAACGCUAAUACCGCAUACGUCCUACGGGAGAAAGCAGGGGACCUUCGGGCCUUGCGCUAUCAGAUGAGCCUAGGUCGGAUUAGCUAGUUGGUGGGGUAAUGGCUCACCAAGGCGACGAUCCGUAACUGGUCUGAGAGGAUGAUCAGUCACACUGGAACUGAGACACGGUCCAGACUCCUACGGGAGGCAGCAGUGGGGAAUAUUGGACAAUGGGCGAAAGCCUGAUCCAGCCAUGCCGCGUGUGUGAAGAAGGUCUUCGGAUUGUAAAGCACUUUAACUUGGGAGGAAGGGUAGUAAACUAAUACCCUGCUGUUUUGACGUUACCGACAGAAUAAGCACCGGCUAACUCUGUG
rnacentral:rRNA from 1 species